rnacentral:sRNA from 1 species
UACCUCUCGAUAAAUUAAUUCUCUAACAUCAUCUUUUGUCAGCUUCCGUCUCUCGAAUUCAAACUCAAGUUUUGAGAUUGGAUGUCUUGAGGGCUCACGUUCCACAUUAGCAAGACUUGCGAAGUACGGAUCAGCCAAAGCCUCUUCAGCUGAAGACCGAUCUUUAGGAUCAAAUGCCAGUAAACGCUCUAGCAGACGAAGAGCCAAGGGGUCAGUAUUGCGGAACUUCUGAGAGAAGGGGACAGCAUGUUUUUUCCGCAUGGUGCUCAAGUAUCUCCUGGCCUUCUCAUUUCGAAUCUGCAGAGACGCAGAAAACAGUAAGGUGAUUUUCCAAGAAGAUCUGUUAUAAUAUCUAAUUGGUGCACAACAUUCUUCCCAGGAAAUAGUGGUCUCCCAGUGAGAAGUUCAGCAAAUAUGCACCCAAUACUCCAAAUAUCAAUUGCAGGAGUGUACUGUAUGCAAAUUGGCUAUUACUUAAAGAGGAAUGUAAAAUCUCAUAUAAGCACCUUACCGUCCAAAAUAUUGCUGAAGGGGCAUCAUUGAAUGAUGCUCGGGCAAGUCCGAAAUCACAUAUUUUCAAUUUGCAGUCUGAGUUUGCCAGUAUAUUCUUGGGCUUUAGAUCGCGAUGAAAUACAUUAGCUCUUACCUGCAUGGAUGUACUUGAGAGCACGGAGAAGUUGGUACAGGAAAAACUGGUAGUGCUCCGGGGUGAGGUCAUCGUUCGCUCUGAUGACUUGAUGGAGAUCUGAUUCCAUGAGCUCAAAAACAACAUAAAUAUCUUGGAACUCCCUUCGAGAAGGGGGAAGCAUAAUGUGUUUGAUCUCAACUAUGUCUGGGUGACGGAGCAGACGAAGGAGCUUGAUCUCACGCAAUAUGCGCGUAGCGUCUGAUACAUGCUCAAACACAUCAUUGAUCUUCUUGAUUGCAACCCGCUCACCCGUGCGGGUAUCUACUGCAGCAGCAACUACUCCAUAACUUCCUUUGCCAAUGACUUCCUGGAUCUGGUACUGGCUUGCUUCUCCAUACUCAGUGAAGAACUCCAUUUCC